GAGAAGCAAAACAGUGGGCGCCUUCAAUGAGCCAUCCUCGCUCCUCCCACCGUCUCUGGUGUCGUCGCCUGGGGUCGCGUUCUCUCAGGGAUCUCGGGACGAAGACUUUCACGCCCAUCCAUGGCCGCGAGCGGCGCGCGGCCAUGUGCGCGGCUGUGGCGUUCAGGAGAGGAGGCGGGCGCUGGGUUCCUGGGCGAGGCCACAUGCCUCUGCUUGUUUCGCGCAUGGUUCCUCGCUUUUGUUUAUUUGUUUAUUUGCCUCUACUACGUGCGAUCGCGCGUCAGGGCAGUGCGUGCAUGCAUCUUGCCGUGGUGAUCUGCACAAG
rnacentral:lncRNA from 1 species